CUGCCCGGGACGUUGUGAGAAGUCCACUGAACCUUAUCAUUUAGAGGAAGGAGAAGUCGUAACAAGGUUUCCGUAGGUGAACCUGCGGAAGGAUCAUUG
rnacentral:rRNA from 1 species